rnacentral:misc_RNA from 1 species
GAUGAAGAAACGUAGCGAAAUGCGAUAAGUAGUGUGAAUUGCAGAAUUCAGUGAAUCAUCGAAUCUUUGAACGCACAUUGCGCCCUUUGGUAUUCCAAAGGGCAUGCCUGUUCGAGCGUCAUUUGUACCCUCAAGCUUUGCUUGGUGUUGGGCGUCUUGUCUCUAGCUUUGCUGGAGACUCGCCUUAAAGUAAUUGGCAGCCGGCCUACUGGUUUCGGAGCGCAGCACAAGUCGCACUCUCUAUCAGCAAAGGUCUAGCAUCCAUUAAGCCUUUUUUUCAACUUUUGACCUCGGAUCAGGUAGGGAUACCCGCUGAACUUAAGCAUAUAAUAAGCGGAGGA